GACGAAGCAGUUUGUGACAUUGAAGAGGCUUUUGUUCCUCAGGAGAAUAGUUCUUUAGAGAAGGAUAUAGGUAUUUAAUGAUUUUUUAACUUACAAGUUGAUCAACCUUUUCUAGUUUCCAUGACAAUUUACUGUCUUUGAAAACAUAAAUUGAUAAAAACAAUAAAAAAAAGGAAACCUUAUUCAUAAAAUACUUGUAUUGACUAUUGUCUUGAAAGGUACAGUGUAAACAAUCAAAAGCAACAUUUCAAUUUAGCAAAUGACUAUCUUUUAUUCGUUUGAUUAUAAAUAUAAGUAAUUCAUGUCUCUUUUUUCAAUUUAUGUAAAUAACUUCAAAGAAAUCAUAGUACCCAGAGGAAAC
rnacentral:lncRNA from 1 species